GGAUGUUGAGCCAUCCACAUGCAAACCAAGGAAGGAGAGUGUGAGCUCCUGGCUGGAGAAUUCGCUCACAAGGGUGAUGUGAUCAUCUUACGUGUAAAAGAAAACCGAAUUUCACUUCUGGUGGUGACUAUUGUCUGAUUCAUCAUUACAGUAACCACCCAAGGAAACCCUGCCCACAAAAAGCAUUCUUCUGGAGAAGAUAACAAAUGAAGGUCUUGGUUAAUAACAGUUCUGCCAGGAACACUGUGUUAAUAUAAACUCAGAUGGAACAAAAUCUUCCUCUGAAAAUGAGCUAGCUCCUAAUGAUGCCACCAUCGGUUACUUCUGUGGAAAUUGCUAAGCUUAUUUUGUGGAUAAGCUUGUGGGAUCCAAUGGGAAUAGUAUCCCCAGAGGAAAGGCAAGAAAUUGCAUGGAUAUUAGCUUGGCCAAAUCUUCAUGCGUCCUUCUCUGAUUUGCAAAAAGUCACUAUCACAGUUGCUCUAAGGGGAAAAAAUAAAAUAUAGGCCUUCCCCAAUUCUACUUCCUGAGAAUUUAAUCUAUAUCACACAGGAUUAAAAUAUUGAUUUUCCAGGAGGCUACUGGAAGAUAAGAGUAACAGUUUUUGGUGACACACAUGAUGGCAACAAUGAACGCUUUGUGGCACGAUGACCUCUAUGAAAAAGAGAGAUAUACAGGUUUUGCUUUUGUUCACUCAACUAAUUACCAACCUUUCAUUAUACCUCUACUCGGACAUCUAAACUUCAGUUAAGCUCUAUGUUUAAGUGGGAUGGAUCUUCAAUUUGCCUACCUAAGGGUAAGAUGUCUCUAAACGGCAUGCAAAAUAAUUUGGGAUUUGAAGUCAGGUUUACAGAGGCAUCAUUUUACAAUUAUCAACUUUGAUAAAUGCAGAUUGUCAUGGAACUACCACCAGAAUCCAGAUAGAGAACAUGCUAUCAUCCCUGUUAUAUCCCUUUGUGGCUAAUCCACCACACUGUUCCAUCCACCAAAGUCCCUAGAAGCCACUGAUCUGUUUUAUGUCCCUCUGGUUUUGUCUUUUUCAAAGUCUGAAAUAAAUGGAAUUGUGGAGUGUGU
ensembl:lncRNA LINC01893 long intergenic non-protein coding RNA 1893